rnacentral:rRNA from 1 species
CACGUAGGGCGCAAGCGUUGUCCGGAAUUAUUGGGCGUAAAGAGCUCGUAGGCGGUCUGUUGCGUCUGCUGUGAAAACCCGGGGCUUAACCCCUGGCUUGCAGUGGAUACGGACAGACUAGAGGUAGGUAGGGGAGAAUGGAAUUCCCGGUGUAGCGGUGAAAUGCGCAGAUAUCGGGAGGAACACCGGUGGCGAAGGCGGUUCUCUGGGCCUUACCUGACGCCGAGGAGCGAAAGCGUGGGGAGCGAACAGG